CCUACGGGUGGCUGCAGUGAGGAAUAUUGGUCAAUGGACGAGAGUCUGAACCAGCCAAGUAGCGUGAAGGAUGACUGCCCUAUGGGCUGUAAACUUCUUUUAUAAAGGAAUAAAACGAGGCACGUGUGCCUUUUUGCAUGUACUUUAUGAAUAAGGAUCGGCUAACUCCGUGCCAGCAGCCGCGGUAAUACGGAGGGUGCGGGCGUUAAUCGGAAUUACUUGGCGUAAAGCGCUCGUAGGAGGUAUGUCAAGUCAAGGGUGAAAGCCCCGCGCUCAACGUGGGAACUGCCUUUGAAACUGGAAAACUGGAGUGUGUGAGAGGAUAGUGGAAUUCCAGGUGUAGGAGUGAAAUCCGUAGAUAUCUGGAGGAACAUCAGUGGCGAAGGCGACUAUCUGGCACAUAACUGACGCUGAGGAGCGAAAGCGUGGGUAGCAAACAGGAUUAGAUACCCGGGUAGUC
rnacentral:rRNA from 1 species